rnacentral:rRNA from 1 species
UACGUAGGGGGCAAGCGUUGUCCGGAAUCAUUGGGCGUAAAGCGAGCGUAGGCGGCCCGAUAAGGCUGCUGUAAAAGUCAACGGCUCAACCGUUGAAAGCCGGUGGAUACUGUCGGGCUAGAGUUCGGAAGAGGCAAGUGGAAUUCCUGGUGUAGCGGUGGAAUGCGCAGAUAUCAGGAGGAACACCUAUAGCGAAGGCAGCUUGCCGGGACGAUACUGACGCUAAGGCUCGAAAGCGUGGGGAGCAAACAGG